rnacentral:rRNA from 1 species
GACGAACGCUGGCGGCGUGCUUAACACAUGCAAGUCGAACGAAGAGCGAUGGAAGCUUGCUUCUAUCAAUCUUAGUGGCGAACGGGUGAGUAACGCGUAAUCAACCUGCCCUUCAGAGGGGGACAACAGUUGGAAACGACUGCUAAUACCGCAUACGAUCUAAUCUCGGCAUCGAGGAUAGAUGAAAGGUGGCCCCUACAUGUAAGCUAUCACUGAAGGAGGGGAUUGCGUCUGAUUAGCUAGUUGGAGGGGUAACGGCCCACCAAGGCGAUGAUCAGUAGCCGGGCUUGGGAGAUGAACGACCACAUUGGGACUGGGACACGGCCCAGACUCCUACGGGAGGCAGCAGUGGGGAAUCUUCCGCAAUGGGCGGAAGUCUGACGGAGCAACGCCGCGUGGGUGGUGACAGCCUUCGGGUUGUAAAGCUCUGUUAGUCGGGACGAAAGGCCUUCUUGCGAAUAGUGAGAAGGAUUGACGGUACCGGAAGAGAAAGCCACGGCUAACUACGUG